GUUGCUACAGCAGCCCAUAAACUAAAAUUGGAACAACACAGAGAAGAUAAACAUGGCCUCUUGCACAAAGAUGACGUGCAAAUUCGUAAAGCGUUCCAUCUUAAA